rnacentral:lncRNA from 1 species
GGUGAUCGAGGCGAGGGUGAGGGAGAUGACAUCUAUAUCUGCGAACCACUUCGGUUUCAUGCCGGGGCGCUCCACUACAGAAGCUAUCCACCUUGUCAGGAAGCUGGUGGAGCAGUUCAGGGAUAAGAAGAAGGACAUGCACAUGGUGUAUAUCGACUUGGAGAAGGCGUAUGACAAGGUCCCAAGGGAGGUGCUAUGGAGGUGCUUGGAGGCGAAGAGUGUGCCGGAAGCCUACAUCAGAGUAAUCANN